rnacentral:rRNA from 1 species
GAUGAACGCUGGCGGCGUGCCUAAUACAUGCAAGUCGAGCGAACAGACGAGGAGCUUGCUCCUCUGACGUUAGCGGCGGACGGGUGAGUAACACGUGGAUAACCUACCUAUAAGACUGGGAUAACUUCGGGAAACCGGAGCUAAUACCGGAUAAUAUAUUGAACCGCAUGGUUCAAUAGUGAAAGACGGUUUUGCUGUCACUUAUAGAUGGAUCCGCGCCGCAUUAGCUAGUUGGUAAGGUAACGGCUUACCAAGGCAACGAUGCGUAGCCGACCUGAGAGGGUGGUAGGCCACACUGGAGCGGAGACACGGUCCAGGCUCCUACGGGAGGCAGCAGUAGGGAAUCUUCCGCAAUAGGCGAGAGCCUGACGGAGCAACGCCGCGUGAGAGAUGAAGGUCUUCGGAUCGUAAAGCUCUGUUAUUAGGGAAGAACAAAUGUGUAAGUAACUAUGCACGUCUUGACGGUACCUAAUCAGAAAGCCACGGCUAACUACGUG